rnacentral:rRNA from 1 species
CAGUAGCCACGGUAAUACAGAGGGUGCGAGCGUUAAUCGGAUUUACUGGGCGUAAAGCGUGCGUAGGCGGCUUUUUAAGUCGGAUGUGAAAUCCCUGAGCUUAACUUAGGAAUUGCAUUCGAUACUGGGAAGCUAGAGUAUGGGAGAGGAUGGUAGAAUUCCAGGUGUAGCGGUGAAAUGCGUAGAGAUCUGGAGGAAUACCGAUGGCGAAGGCAGCCAUCUGGCCUAAUACUGACGCUGAGGUACGAAAGCAUAGGGAGCAAACAGGAUUAGAUACCCGCGUAGUCCCUGUCUCUUAUAC